rnacentral:lncRNA from 1 species
CAGCCGCUCAGUGACGACGGCCACCUCCUGCGCCGCUUCGGCCGCCGCCGGCACGCACUCGCCCUGGGCCUCUGCUUUCCCCAUCGCCGCCAGCUCCGCCGCCAUCCAGGGCGACAGCGAGGCGAGGUAGGCGCCGAAAUCGCCGGCCUCCUCCGCCUCAACGUCAUCCGCCCAGCGGCGGCCGUUGGGGGUGCCGCCGGUGCCGCUGGCAGCUGCCGCCGCCGCCUGCUCCGCCAGGCCCUCCUUCAGCCAAUCUGCGAGCGACCCGAGGUCGAGCUCCUCCUCCGCCUCCUCAUGCGCCUCAACCUCAUCCGCCCAGCUACCGCUCGCGCCACCGCUGCUGCUAAUGCUGGCGCGAGGAGCAAUGCUGCUGCUGCUGCUGCUGCUGCUGCUGCUGCUGCUGCUGCUGCCGUCAGACUCUGACGCUGCCGCGGGCACGGCCGGUGCGGCUUCCGCCUGCUGCUGCUCGGCCGCCGCGAGCUCCGCCAGUCCCUGCUUCACCCAGGGCGUCUGCUCAAAGAGGUCGCUCAGGUCGAGUCCGUCAGCCUCAUCCUCAUCAUCAUCGCCCCAUCGCGGCGUGGUCGAGCUGCGGUCGACGGUGGAGGUGGAGAUGGGGCUUGCAGCGGCGGCGGGCUUGGUCGGGGCGGCGGGCUUGGUCGGAGCCGCGAGCUUGGGCACCUUGGGCAGGCCGGGCGGCUUCUGCGGGCGCCAGUGGUUGUCGUAGGCAUGGCAAAGCUGGCAAGGGGCGCUCCUGCAGCCAGCAGAUAGGCUGGCAUAGCACCAGCGCAUGCAGGACUUGUGAGGAAAGCAGCAGGCGCUGGGGGCGGGCUCCUGCUGCUCCUGCUGGUGGGCGGCGGCGGAGGGCUCGCUCUCAUCAGAGCCGUGGCCUUGGCUGCGGGGCGUGUGGCGCCAGGCGUCCUGUGCAAACGAGAUCGGGGGAAAAGGAUAGAUGGGGGCGGACAAGCCGUGAGUGCACGGGACGAGGACAAGGGUCGGGGCGCAGAGGGCGGGAGAAAGGGCCGGGGGUCGGGGGCUCGGGCCCCGGCAAAAAAGUCAGGCGCACCGGAAAGGCACGCGCUUUCGGUCAAAGCUGUUGACCGACGCAUUUUACGAGACAAUACAUGCAGCAAUAUGCAGCCAGUGUGGCCGCAGCAGCGCAAGAAGGAACGCCGAGGAAGCCGAGCGCACUACUGGCCCGAAAUCUGCAACGCUAUCUAGCCCGCAUCAGAAGCCUAAUGCUUUGCAUGUGGCAUCGGAUACCCAUUGCAGCUGCUCAAGGCUCAAAAUGGCCGUGCCCGAACAUGAAUGGUGCUCACCUGCAUCGGUCGGCUCGGCUCGAAGUCAAGCCCCGGUGCACUUGCGAUUGACCGUGAUGUGGCCAUAGUAGCUCUCGACCGCACCAAGCACUCUUCGCGCGCAGAACUCGAUUCUGCUGCUAGCGCAAUUCUUUCGCUUGACGGAAACUUUUCCUCGCGGUGCCCGGGAGGGAUUCGCGCUAGGAGCUGCUAGCUCGUGACAGUGGUGGUGCUUGCCGCAGCUUUCAUGCGCAUGCGGUGGAAAUCGAGAGAGGUCGCGAACAGCCCUAGAAAUGCUCUUCUUUGCCGUCAGGUGCUCGUAGCUAAGCAGUGGGCGUAAAAGCUGUUUGUGAGAUGUCUUUGCAUCUGUUGAAUGUGCAAUAUGAGCACAGCGCGAAGCUUUUAUCCAGUGGCGGGGACAGGGUCUCGGGCGCCCAUGCAGGCGACACGCGCCCAAUCCCGAGCCUCCCACUCCUCGCCUGUACCUUGUCCCUGGACCCGCGCCAUCCGUGUCCCGCUGUUCAAUUCCCGCGUUUCAUACCAGCUCCCCUCCCCUGCGUAGGCCGGUAACCCCUGAUCCCGCCGCUGCCGGGGAUGCAGCCGUGCAGGAUGAGGUUGACGGCUGGGGAAGUUGGUGUGGGGAAGUUGGUGUAGGUUGGCGGUGAUCCAGCGGGGUGGGUGCCGAUGUGCUAUAGCGGGCGCGAGGCUGUACACGUCAGGAUCUGGCGAGUGUACUGCUCAAGCUGGCUUUGUGAUGGCCCCCAAGCGUAGGUGAGGUAGGCGCACGGCGGUGACAAGGCAUGCGGCCAGUGGAACUGCCUUACAGUUACAGCCCGCCCAAGCGCGGUUGUUGCCCUGCCAUGAUUUCCGUGCAGUCUGCUAGCUUCGGCAGGGACGGUGCCCAUCAGUUCCCGAUGUUGACAAACCAUGCAUCCAGCCGCCCACACGUGCUCUUCGUUCGUCACAUACCGUACUCGAACUCCAAUGUCCACAGAGCGUGUGCGCGAAAUCCACACGCCACACACGCAAGUGACAGCCGCCCGUCCUUGCACAGCAAGCAUCUCCGCGCACGGUCGCACGCUUCUCUAGCCCCAACGAACCGCAAACCACAAAUCAAGUCACACCCACCUCAGCAUUAGAAGUGCACACCCGCCUAUCGAAUGUCGGAUGAUGAUAAGGCAACAAGUAGGUCUACUGCACCCAUGCAUGGAUGGAAAGAAUCAAUGGACCUGUGGAUAUAGGAUCCGGCCUUCUCAAGGGUCCUCGCGCAUUUACUAAAGAGCCAAGGGGUCUAGUAUGUAAGAAUCAAUGCCAGUCUCAAGUCAAGCACACUGCUGCCGCUUCCUGGCAUCUGGAAUGCCGGAAGGGUCGGAGGAACUUGCACCCACAGAACGUACACGUCGUGUCACUGACAGCCCACUCGAGUCUUGUAAACAGUAAGAAUAGUGCCCGCUCCUGCAGCGAGCCAAGAUACGGUAACCUCGAUACUUCUUUGUGUCUCACCGCGGUACGCGCACAGACAUUAAUCUGCGGGCUCCCUCUCCGCACUCCUUCUGUCACUCCCGUGCGUCAGGUCGUUUCCGACGUCGCCUCCACUCCAUCUCCUACGUCCCAUGACUCACCUGUAGCCCCAGGCAGCCCUGCGUCCAUUGGCACAGCGCCCCUCGCCACCUGCCACCCUCUCGCUCAGCAAAUGAACGCACGCACGAUAGCAAAACACCAGCAGUCCGUAGUAUGGCCAAGGGGGGCUGCCGGUUCCCCGGUCCCAUACAGUCACACAUACAUCUUAUUAAGAAACAUCAGCAGGGUUUAUUUGGCGAGUCUCAGUAGAGAAAUAGACAUCCCUACAUCACCCAAUGCGCAUGGCAAUAUCGCACUGAGUGCUUGCUUGCGCAAGCAAUCCAGCAUCAAGUGCGGCCUUUGACACUCCCGCUCGCUCACAUACGGUGUAUUAUCAGUACAGCACGGCAACACUCGCGCGAAUCAGUCCUGUCUCCUGCGGUAAACGCCGACUACCGUAGCACGCCCUGCUGUCGUGCUGACAAUGAGAAAUGUGCGGCGGCACAGCCCUGCUGGUUCACUUGAUAGUGGGCCCGAUCAGUAGCUAGUAGCGGCGAUUUGCCUAGCCGUCUAUACUUGCACGCAUACGCUGCGGGUGUGCCUCACAUACCAUAAUACCCAGUGCUGCUUCUUUCGCAUAUAACACACGCUCAGCAUGCCCUGCUGGCUCACUUCGAUACUGUACCAUCCACACACGUACGUGUGACGAGCCCCUGUUGCAAAAGGCCGCCGGCACCACAGCUGCGGCUGCUGCGGCUGCUGCUGCCGCUGCUACUGCUGCAUCUUCAAAUGGCGAAGGCAGCAAGCCGCUGGCUGCUGGGCUCAUGCAGCUGACGGCGUAACACGGAAUGAAGCCAAACGGAACGGAGCGGCCCUUGCCGCUACCAGGCCGCCACCGCUGCCGGUGGCGGGAAGCAGCCGCACGCGCGCUCCAACGCGGCAAACUCCUCCAGCUCCCGCUCCUGCUCGGCCCACGCCGCCGCCGCCAGCUCGAUCGCCAGGCGCAGGCGCGAGGGCAUCACAGCUGACUGCCACUCAUCACCCUGCUGCACUGCCGCAAUUGGCGGAACGACACAGCUGCCCAUGCUGCUGCCGGCGGCGGUGCAGGCCUCCUUGUCAAUGCUCUGCCGCUCCGCUGCCACCUCCACCGCCUCCACCUGCUGCGGCGUCUCACUGCCUGCCGCCGCCGCCACCCAGACCAGACUGCAGCUGCUGGCGCUGCGGCUGGUGCGGGCGCUGUCCGGCACGGCGCAGCAGCACGAGCUGAGCGGCGAGUCAGGCGCGUCCGGCCGCUCAGUGACAACGGCCACCUCCUGCUCCGCUUCGGCCGCCGCCGGCACGCACUCGCCCUGGGCCUCUGCUUUCCCCAUCGCCGCCAGCUCCGCCGCCAUCCAGGGCGACAGCGAGGCGAGGUAGGCGCCGAAAUCGUCGGCCUCCUCCUCCUCGACGUCAUCCGCCCAGCGGCGGCCGCUGGGGGUGCCGCCGGUGCCGCUGGCAGAUCCCGCCGCCGCCUGCUCCGCCAGGCCCUCCUUCAACCAAUCUGCAAGCGACCCGAGGUCGAGCUCCUCCUCCUCCUCCGCCUCCUCGUGCGCCUCGACUUCAUCCGCCCAGCUACCGCUCGCGCCACCGCUGCUGCUAAUGCUGGCGCGAGGAGCAAUGCUGCUGCUGCUACUGCUGCUGCUGCUGCCGUCAGACUCUGACGCUGCCGCGGGCGCGGCCGGUGCGGCUUCCGCCUGCUGCUGCUCGGCCGCCGCGAGCUCCGCCAGUCCCUGCUUCACCCAGGGCGUCUGCUCAAAGAGGUCGCUCAGGUCGAGUCCGUCAGCCUCAUCCUCAUCAUCAUCGCCCCAUCGCGGCGUGGUCGAGCUGCGGUCGACGGUGGAGGUGGAGAUGGGGCUGGCAGCGGCGGCGGGCUUGGUCGGGGCGGCGGGCUUGGUCGGAGCCGCGAGCUUGGGCACCUUGGGCAGGCCGGGCGGCUUCUGCGGGCGCCAGUGGUUGUCGUAGGCAUGGCAAAGCUGGCAGGGGGCGCUCCUGCAGCCAGCAGAUAGGCUGGCAUAGCACCAGCGGAUGCAGAACUUGUGGGGAAAGCAGCAGGCGCUGGGGCCGGGCUCCUGCUGCUCCUGCUGGUGGGCGGCGGCGGAGGGCUCGCUCUCAUCAGAGCCAUGGCCUUGGCUGCGGGGCGUGUGGCGCCAGGCGUCCUGUGCAAACGAGAUCGGGGGAAAGGAUAGAUGGGGGCGGACAAGCCGUGAGUGCACGGGACGAGGACAAGGGUCGGGGCGCAGAGGGCGGGACAAAGGGCCGGGGGUCGGGGGCUCGAGCCCCGGCAAAAAAGUCAGGCGCACCGGAAAGGCACGCGCUUUCGGUCAAAGCUGUUGACCGACGCAUUUUACGAGACAAUACAUGCAGCAAUAUGCAGCCAGUGUGGCCGCAGCAGCGCAAGAAGGAAGGCUGAGGAAGCAGAGCGCACUACUGACCCGAAAUCUGCAACGCUAUAUAGCCCGCAUCCGAAGCCUAAUGCUUUGCAUGUGGCAUCAGAUACCCAUUGCAGCUGCUCAAGGCUCAAAAUGGCCGUGCCCGAACAUGAAUGGUGCUCACCUGCAUCGGUCGGCUCGGCUCGAAGUCAAGCCCCGGUGCACUUGCAAUUGACCGUGAUGUGGCCAUAGUAGCUCUUGACCGCACCAAGCACUCUUCGCGCGCAGAACUCGAUUCUGCUGCUAGCGCAAUUCUUUCGCUUGAUGGAGUUUCCUCGCGGUGCCCGGGAGGGAUUCGCGCUAGAAGCUGCUAGUUCGUGAUAGUGGUGGUGCUUGCCGCAGCGUUCAUGCGCAUGCGGUGGAAAUCGAGAGAGGUCGCGAACAGCCCUAGAAAUGCUCUUCUUUGCCGUCGAUAAGCUCAGGUGCUCGUAGCUAAGCAGUGGGCGUAAAAGCUGUUUGCGGGAUGUCUUUGCAUCUGUUGAUUGUGCAAUAUGAGCACAGCGCGAGAAGCUUUUAUCCGGUGGCGGGGACAGGGUCUCGGGCGCCCAUGCAGGCGACACGCGCCUAAUCCCGAGCCUCCCUCCUCGCCUUUACCUUGUCCCUGGACCCGCGCCAUCCGUGCCCCGCUGUUCACUUCCCUCGUUUCAUACCAGUUCCCCUCCCCUGCGUAGGCCGGUAACCCCUGAUCCCGCCGCUGCCAGGGAUGCAGCUGUGCAGGAUGAGGUUGACGGCUGUGGAUUGCAUUGGUUACAAGAGGGACCUGCUGACGCAGUUCACGAGCCAGUGACGUGUGGAAGUUGGUGUAGGUUGGCGGUGAUCCAGCGGGGUGGGUGCCGAUGUGCUAUAGUGGGCGCGAGGCUGUACACGUCAGGACCUGGCGAGUGUACUGCUAAAGCUGACUUUGUGAUGGCCCCCAAGCGUAGGUGAGGUAGGCGCACGGUGGUGACAAGGCAUGCGGCCAGUGGAACUGCCUUACAGUUACAGCCCGCCCAAGCGCGGUUGUUGCCCUGCCAUGAUUUCCGUGGAGUCUCUAGCUCCGGCAGGGACGGUCCCCAUCAGUUCCCGUAGUGGACCAUGCAUCCAGCCGCCCACACGUGCUCUCCGUUCGUCACAUACAGUACUCGAACUCCAAUGUCCACAGAGCGUGUGCGCGAAGUCCACACGCCACACACGCAAGUGGCAGCCGCCCGUCCUUGCACAGCAAGCAUCUCCGCGCACGGUCGCACGCUUCACUAGCCCCAACGAACCGCCUACCACAAAUCAAGUCACACCCACCUCAGCAUUAGGAGUGCACAUCCGCCUGUCGAAUGUCGGAUGAUGAUAGGGCAACAAGUAGGUCUAGAGAAAUGAAAGCUAGUAGGUCUACUGCACCCAUGCAUGGAUGGAAAGAAUCAAUGGACCUUUGGAUAUAGGAUCCGGCCUUCUCAAGGGUCCUCGCGCAUUUACUAAAGAGCCAAGGGGUCUAGUAUGUAAGAAGCAAUGCCAGUCUCAAGUCAAGCACACUGCUGCCGCUUCCUGGCAUCUGGAAUGCCGGAAGGGUCGGAGGAACUUGCACCCACAGAACGUACACGUCGUGUCACUGACAGCCCACUCGAGUCUUGUAAACAGUAGAAAUCGUGCCCGCUCCUGCAGCGAGCCAAGAUACGGUAACCUCGAUACUUCUUUGUGUCUCACCGCGGUACGCGCACAGACAUUAAUCUGCGGGCUCCCUCUCCGCACUCCUUCUGUCACUCCCGUGCGUCAGGUCUUCUCCGACGUCGCCUCCACUCCAUCUCCUACGUCCCAUGACUCACCUGUAGCCCCAGGCAGCCCUGCGUCCAUUGGCACAGCGCCCCUCGCCACCUGCCACCCUCUCGCUCAGCAAAUAAACGCACGCGCGAUAGCAAAACACCAGCAGUCCGUAGUAUGGCCAAGGGGGGCUGCCGGUUCCCCGGUCCCAUACAGUCACACAUACAUCUUAUUAAGAAAAAUCAGCAAGGUUUAUUUGGCGAGUCUCAGUAGAGAAAUAGACAUCCAUACAUCACCCAAUGCGCAUGGCAAUAUCGCACAGAGUGCUUGCUUGCGCAAGCAAUCCAGCAUCAAGUACGGCCUUUGACACUCCCGCUCGCUCACAUACGGUGUAAUAUCAGUACAGCACGGCAACACUCGCGCGAAUCAGUCCUGUGUCCUGCGGUAAACGCCGACUACCGUAGCACGCCCUGCUGUCGUGCUGACAAUGAGAAAUGUGCGGCGGCACAGCCCUGCUGGUUCACUUGAUAGUGAAUGGGCCCGAUCAGUAGCUAGUAGCGGCGAUUUGCCUAGCUGUCUAUACUUGCACGCAUACGCUGCGGGUGUGCCUCACAUACCAUAAUACCCAGUGCUGCUUCUUUCGCAUUUAACACACGCUCAGCAUGCCCUGCUGGCUCACUUCGAUACUGUGCCAUCCACACACGUACGUGUGACGAGCCCCUCUUGCGAACGGCCGUCGGCACCACAGCUGCGGCGGCUGCGGCUGCGGCUGCUGCUGCUCCUGCUGCUGCUACUGCUACUGCUGCAUCUUCAAGUGGCGAAGGCAGCAAGCCGCUGGCUGCUGGGCUCAUGCAGCUGACGGCGUAACACGGAAGCCAAACGGAACGGAGCGGCCCUUGCCGCUACCAGGCCGCCACCGCUGCCGGUGGCGGGAAGCAGCCGCACGCGCGCUCCAACGCGGCAAACUCCUCCAGCUCCCGCUCCUGCUCGGCCCACGCCGCCGCCGCCAGCUCGAUCGCCAGGCGCAGGCGCGAGGGCAUCACAGCUGACUGCCACUCAUCACCCUGCUGCACUGCCGCGAUUGGCGGAACGACACAGCUGCCCAUGCUGCUGCCGGCGGCGGUGCAGGCCUCCUUGUCAAUGCUCUGCCGCUCCGCUGCCACCUCCACCGCCUCCACCUGCUGCGGCGUCUCACUGCCUGCCGCCGCCGCCACCCAGACCAGACUGCAGCUGCUGGCGCUGCGGCUGGUGCGGGCGCUGUCCGGCACGGCGCAGCAGCACGAGCUGAGCGGCGAGUCAGGCGCGUCCGGCCGCUCAGUGACAACGGCCACCUCCUGCUCCGCUUCGGCCGCCGCCGGCACGCACUCGCCCUGGGCCUCUGCUUUCCCCAUCGCCGCCAGCUCCGCCGCCAUCCAGGGCGACAGCGAGGCGAGGUAGGCGCCGAAAUCGUCGGCCUCCUCCUCCUCGACGUCAUCCGCCCAGCGGCGGCCGCUGGGGGUGCCGCCGGUGCCGCUGGCAGAUCCCGCCGCCGCCUGCUCCGCCAGACCCUCCUUCAACCAAUCUGCAAGCGACCCGAGGUCGAGCUCCUCCUCCUCCUCCGCCUCCUCGUGCGCCUCGACUUCAUCCGCCCAGCUACCGCUCGCGCCACCGCUGCUGCUAAUGCUGGCGCGAGGAGCAAUGCUGCUGCUGCUACUGCUGCUGCUGCUGCCGUCAGACUCUGACG